UAUUUCAGAAGAAAAAGCACCCACGGGGCAGAUAAUGGACAGACGGUUUUUCGGUUCCCUAAAACGACAAUUAUAAGUAACACCAUUAAUUUGACCUAACAGAGACACAAAGCUGAAACUCAGGAAGAUGUCAUAGUACAGAGGAGGGAUGUUACAUAAUUUCAAAACAUUUAAAGAGCACGAUCCAUUGGUGGAGUCACGCCGUGGGCAGCUACAGGCCCUGUGAAGGGCACGGGCCUACUCAUAGCGCACAUCCAGAGUGGGCUGAAAAUCAUCUACCUUGGGCCUCCCAAUCCAGUUUCACUAUUAAUGUGCCCUUUUUAACCUCCACUUAUUGGAAGCAUAAAGGCAACUGUCAGCCCAGAGCUAAUUUCUACACCGUCAAUUUAAAAUAUCGGGGCAUCGGAUGAAUGGCUCCUUGCAUCUCAUUUUCCUGUUACCUAAAGAGAGAGUAUGCCGGGCGGAAGAACAGCUGGUGGGGCGGCUGUGUCGGAAAGUGCAUGGCAUGUGUCUAGGAGGUAUCGGGUAGGCCAGAGCGUGCCACGGCUUUCUAAAAUUGGAGGUGAUCGUCUAAGAAGCACAUCAGGCUUCCCGAUGUGGGAGGAAGAGGCAGAGCUUGCGGAUGAGACGGAAGGGCUCAACCCUGGAGAACAAGGAAUGCACAAAAAAACCAGAGGUCACAGACCCCACUGUCAGCAGACAUGUCACUUCCUCAGCUUGGACUCUGAUAAAAUGAGAAUCACGCAGCUUGCAGGUGAGUGGUCUUUCCCACGCCACGGUGUCAGACUCAAAGCCUCCAGGAAAGGCCAGGGGAAGGGGUUCUAAGGUCUUGCAGGUAAACUCGGUGCCGGGAGGAAGAACAGGAGGAGUAGAAGAAAUUGCGUUCGUGCCUGUCUCGGAGCAAGCAGGGGACGAACAGGCAGCAUGGAAAAACCCAGAGACCUUGGGAGAACUAGGAGACUAGUUCCUACCACGAACAGCCUGUAGGUCUAAUAAGUGAAGGACAUCCCCAAGGCCAGCGAGAACCGGAUGGAGGAAGCAAUUAUUUUUCCGGCCCUGCCCUCUUCAGCCUUUGAUGGUAUCUGAGGGUCUCCCGGAAGUUAUCCCCCACCAGAUGUAACACGCUCGUCUGCUGCUCUUCCCACGUGGGCUCUGGAGGCGGGGGAGCCUCAGGGCUGCAGAGGUGGGUGGGGAAGGGGGAUCGAUCAUGAGGAACUGGUGACAGACAGGUGCAAGCCCCACCCCCCACCCCCCCAGCCACCGAGGAACACAAAUGAACAAACUCUGCACUACUUUUGGAAUUUCAUUUUAAAACCUUGGCUUAAACCAAACACAUCUGCACCAAUCCAUGAAGAGGUGGGAGACCUGGCCCCCUUUGAACACAGGCACCCCACUUGCCAAGGCACAGACCCUCCACCAGGCUCCCAGGCUGCAGAUCUCUGAAUUCAGCCCUGAAUGGCCUUCCACUCUCUUCUUUGAAGCUUUUGUUCUGAGAGAGAGGGAGAGAGCACCAGCCAAGAAGUGUGUGGGGCAGGGCUCCGGGGCAGGUUCUUUGCAAGCUGUGUGACUUUAGGGAAAGUGACUGACCCCCCUGAGUCUCCCUUUGCUUUUGUUACGUGAGACAGUGGUACCCAGGACGGUAACUAAGUUCUCAGGAUGUGUAUAUGUGAUGCUCUGCUCGGCCCAUCCUGGAGAAGCUGUGUGGGCCAAUAAACAGCAGGCGCUGGAUGCGUGUUAA